rnacentral:rRNA from 1 species
GAUGAACGCUGGCGGCGUGCCUAAUACAUGCAAGUCGAGCGAACAGAUAAGGAGCUUGCUCCUUUGACGUUAGCGGCAUACGGGUGAGUAACACGUGGGCAACCUACCUAUAAGACUGGAAUAACUCCGGGAAACCGGGGCUAAUGCCGGAUAAUAUUUAGAACCGCAUGGUUCUAAAGUGAAAGAUGGUUUUACUAUCACUUAUAGAUGGCACCGCGCCGUAUUAGCUAGUUGGUGGGGUAAUGGCUUACCAAGGCAACGAUACGUAGCCGACCUGAGAGGGUGAUCGGCCACACUGGAACUGAGACACGGUCCAGACUCCUACGGGAGGCAGCAGUAGGGAAUCUUCCGCAAUGGGCGAAAGCCUGACGGAGCAACGCCGCGUGAGUGAUGAAGGUCUUCGGAUCGUAAAACUCUGUUAUUAGGGAAGAACAAAUGUGUAAGUAACUGUGCACGUCUUGACGGUACCUAAUCAGAAAGCCACGGCUAACUACGUGCCAGCCGCCGCCGUAA